rnacentral:rRNA from 1 species
GAUGAACGCUAGCUACAGGCUUAACACAUGCAAGUCGAGGGGAAACGACAUCGAAAGCUUGCUUUUGAUGGGCGUCGACCGGCGCACGGGUGAGUAACGCGUAUCCCACCUGCCCAUCACUUGGGAAUAACCUUGCGAAAGUAAGACUAAUACCCAAUGAUAUCCCACGAAGGCAUCGGAAUGGGAUUAAUGAUUUAUCGGUGAUGGAUGGUGUUGCGUCUGCUUAGCUUGUUGGCGGGGUAACGGCCCACCAAGGCAACGAUCAGUAGGGGUUCUGAGGGUAAGGCCCCCCACAAUGGAACCGCGACACGGUCCAAAAUCCUACGGGAGGCAGCAGUGAGGUAUAUUGGUCAAUGGGGGAUGGCCCGAACCAGCCGAGUAGCGUGCAGGAAGAUGGCCCUAUGGGUUGUAAACUGCUUUUAUAAAGGAAUAAAGUGGGUAACGUGUGACUUUUUGCAUGUACCUUAUGAAUAAGGACCGGCUAAUUCCGUG